rnacentral:misc_RNA from 1 species
AGUCGACAAAUUGAGAGAUGAAGCUAGCCUCUAGAUGAGUUGAUAUCAAUGUUGGAACUUCUCGUGUCAAAUAUCCCGGAGCUAGGCCACCCUCCCGUCGUUGUUACAGGGGGCGGCGGCGUUAGAUUUUGGUUAUGGCCGGAGCUCGGCGACGCGUCCUGCCCUCCUCCGGUCAGCGAGUCCGAGCUGAAGGCCGCCGCCGCCGCCUGUUGCUGCUGCUGUUUCCCG